AGAGUUUGAUCAUGGCUCAGAACGAACGCUGGCGGCAGGCCUAACACAUGCAAGUCGAACGGGCGUAGCAAUACGUCAGUGGCGGACGGGUGAGUAACACGUGGGAAUAUGCCUUUCGGUUCGGAACAACUCGGGGAAACCCGUGCUAAUUCCGGAUACGCCCUUACGGGGAAAGAUUUAUCGCCGAAAGAUUAGCCCGCGUUGGAUUAGCUAGUUGGUGAGGUAAAGGCUCACCAAGGCGACGAUCCAUAGCUGGUUUGAGAGAACGACCAGCCACACUGGGACUGAGACACGGCCCAGACUCCUACGGGAGGCAGCAGUGGGGAAUCUUGGACAAUGGAGGAAACUCUGAUCCAGCCAUGCCGCGUGAGUGAUGAAGGCCUUCGGGUUGUAAAACUCUUUUGGCGGGGACGAUAAUGACGGUACCCGCAGAAUAAGCUCCGGCUAACUUCGUGCCAGCAGCCGCGGUAAUUC
rnacentral:rRNA from 1 species